rnacentral:tRNA from 1 species
CAGGGAGACAACACAAUGAUUUUGAUGCCUGAGUGCUUUUAUUCUUAGGCCGAAAUCCUGUCACCUUAGGUCGAUCGGUACCUCAGCUUUGAAGUCAAGAAUCAGCAGCAAUGCUGAUUGCUUGAUGGAGAUUUUCAGUUCCUAAACUUUGUCUAGGUCACACCCCAAAAGGGAUGAGACUCCUGGGCCAUUAGCUCAGGUGGUUAGAGCGCACCCCUGAUAAGGGUGAGGUCCCUGGUUCAAGUCCAGGAUGGCCCAUUCGGUGUUGGGGGUUUAGCUCAGUUGGUAGAGCGCCUGCUUUGCAAGCAGGAUGUCAGGAGUUCGAGUCUCCUAACCUCCACUGACCGAACUUUGUCCCCAGCUUCAAUUUUGUGGAGUUGAGCUCGAUUGGAGUGUGAUUUUAGAUGUGUCCGCUGGAUGACCCCAGCUUCCUAUCAUUCUAAGUUUUAGGUUUAGAGCUUUGAAUUUAGUUGAUAAGAUGCUGGGCUCAGAUCAGAUAAUCAAGCAAUUGAUGAUUUGAUUUGAAGUUCUAGCAGAACCUUGACAACUGCAUAGGUGAGUCUGGAAAAACAAAGCAUCUUACAGAUGCAUUGUUUUGAAUCUAAUCUUCUGAAAGGUAGAUUAGAUCUAGAACAAUGAAAAUUCUUUUGAGCAAGAGCCGAGACUCUUGAGCGUUCUUUGAUUCGUGUCGAGCGAAUCAGAGUUUGAUUUUGUUUUAGGAGUCAAUGAAAGUUGAUGACUAAAACAUGAGAAUCUGCUGUCAACGGCGGUAAGCGUUCAGAGGUUAAUU